rnacentral:lncRNA from 1 species
GGAAAGUUUUGAUUGAGAGAUUGACACAUGUCAUGAGAGACCUUUAGUUUUGAUGAGAGGUUGACACAUGUCAUGAGGGCUUGAGAGGUUGACACAUGUCAUGAGGGAGCUUUUUUGUUAUAUAGAUAAUAGAUUAAUCCUCAUUCAUUUCUUCCUAAAAAUAGUUUCAAUUAAAAAUGGCAAGAGUCACAAAAGUUCUCUACCUUGAGGAUAAUAAGGGAGACCGACGUUCAUAUGACAUAUAUAAAAACCUACCCUAACUCCUUUGAGAAGGACAACAUGUUAGAUAUUAUUGGCAGAAUACACCUAGACUCAAUAUCUAUGGCAAGCAUCCUAGACUUCUAGAAAGAUAAUAAAUAAUUAUAACCUAAGUCUAAUAAGUCACCACUUGAGCCAUCGACAUGUUGAUUGUUGAGUCAUCUUCAAGCUUUAACUAAUUUCUUGUCUUCAUCAAAACAUAGGCAAAAUAUUGCUAAUGCAAUCUUUGACGCUUUGCUCUUUCAAACUCUCCCUUUUUAUGAUGACAAACACCACAUUUGAUGACAUUUGAUGACUUAGCUUGAUGAUGUUGUAUAUUUGCAUAAUUGAAGCGCUUUGCUCUCCCCCUUAGGUAGGCAAUGAUUAAUAAACCUGCAAAUAACAUCAAACACAACAAGCAACCUUUCUCCCUUUUUUGACAUUAUCAAAAAAAUACGAAUAUUUAAUUCUAGUCAAAAGUAAGAAGAGAUAUAGCAAUUUAAUUUUGAAAAAACUGUAAUUAUUAGCAUAGAGAAUAAGCAGUUUGAGA